ACUGGCUGCUUCCUUGGUUUGGUGCGAUCGCGUGAGACAGCGUCAGGCGCUUGAUUUCCCUGAGUCCCGGUGCCUCAGCUGCCCAGUGCCCACGGUAAAAGUCUAUUGCACUGAGCUGUGGCAAACAGCAAAUGAGAUUACCAAAGAUUUGAACAACUGUUAAUUUAGAAAAAGUGCUGUCGUUGUAAUAACAACUUCUAGGAGACCGGCAGCCCUUUUCAGCCCGUUCGUAAGAAGGCAACAAGUUCUUCUCCUCUACAGAAGGAUUUUGCAAACAAUUCGGCAAGUUCCAAAUGAUUCUGAUCGCAAAUACCUGAAAGAUUGGGCAAGAGAAGAAUUCAGAAGAAACAAAAGUGCCACCGAAGAGGUGAGAACAAAAUCAUGGAUACAAUCCGGAUGAUGAUUACUCAAGGCAAUAUGCAGCUCAAGGAGUUAGAAAAAACACUUGCUUUAGCAAAAUCUUAACUAUAGCAUUAUUCUGAAGGAUUUUCAAAGUCUCCAUGUGUUUUGUUGCAUUUAGGAUUAACAAUGGACAACACAAAGCCCAGUCUUACUAUUUAUAUGUACAGUAUUUGGUGAUAGAGAGCAAAGGAAAAACACAUCAGAACAGUUGCCUUAACACUGAAAAACAUACCCUGCAUUUUGAAAAUGUUUAUGGAUGUCUCAGCAGUUCUUAAAAGAAGAAAAAAACCACUAACAAAUGGCCAGUAGAUGCUGGACACAAUCAUUAGGGAAGUGUAAAUCAAAACUACUAUGAGGUCGGGUGUAGUGGCUCAUGCUUGUAAUCCCAGUACUUUAGGAGGCUGUGGUAGGUGGAUCACUUGAGGUCAGGAGUUCAAGACCAGCCUGGCCAGCAUGGUGAAACCUCAUCUCUACUAAAAAUACAAAAAUUAGCUUGGUGUGGUGGUGCAUUGCCUGUAGUCCCAGCUACUUGGGAGGCUGAGGCAGGAGAAUCACUUGAACCCAGGAAGUGGAGGUUGCAGUGAGCUGAGGUCGUGCCACUGCACUUCAGCCUGGGUGACAGAGUGAGACAGUCUCUAAAAAAAAAAAAAAAAAACAACCCUGAGAUUCACAUUCACUAGAAUGGCUGUAAUUAAAAAGAGAAAUAAUAAUAAGUCUUGGUGAAGAUGUACAGAAAUUACAGAACCCUCAUACAUUGCUGGUGGGAAUGUAAAAUGGUGUAGCCACUUCAGAAAACAGACGGUCAGUUCCUCAAAAGAUGAAACAGCUGCUGUAUGAGUUAGCACUUCUACCCCAUGCCCAUAGCCAUUAUUUGGCACUAAAAAGAAACGAAGGACUUAUAUAUACUAAACAUGGAUAAACCUUGAAAACGUUAAGUGAAAGAAGCCGGUCACAAAAGAUCACAUGAUGAUUCCAUUCAUACGAAAUGUCCAGAAUAGGCAGAAAGAUUAGUGGUUGCCUAGGCUGGCUGUAGAUGGAAUGGAGUAACUGCUAAUGGGUGUAGGGUUCCUUUUCAGGGUGAUGAAAAUAUCCUACAGUUAGCUUGUGGUGUAGGCUGCACAACUCUUGAAUAUAUUCAAAUCCACUGAACUGUACAUUUUAAAUGUAAGGUAUGAAUUGUAUCUCAAUAAAGCUGUUAUUAAAAAACUCUUGAGGUGUAGGACUGAAAGUAUACUGACACCAGGAGAUACCCUGGAACUUUCUCGAAAAAUCCUGCAUUAUCCCUGAGGGUUGUUCAGGUACGUUCUUCAGAUGUGUCAUAGUUUGAUAGAGAACUCAUCAAAAAGAUCACCACUGGGAAUCUAGAUCUUUGUUGAAAAGGGAAGAGAAAGAGAAGCUUAAUGAGCACAUUGAAGCACUUACCAGAAAGAAGAGGGAAGACUUCUGGAUGAAACCUCUGUGAGUACCUUAACAUUCACAUGGAAGUAGUAAAAAUAAGAUUCUGGGUGCAGUUCUCCAAUGACAGGAAAAAAAACAAAGAGAAUUUGAAGAAUACGUCAGAGACAAAUACAUUACAACCAAAAUUGACUUCAAGGCACUUUUGAAGGAGAUCAAAUUUAUAACAAAAUAAUUUAGUGAAAGUGAAAGCUUGUGGAAGAUGUUGGAAUCAUCCAUCCUGAAAAUUGAAGUCUUCUGUUUAUCAACAGAACAGCUAAGAAGCUAAUCUAAGAAUGACCAGCACCUGAAAGAUGUAGACAACAUUUUGCAGAAUGAUAAAUGGUAUCCAGUACUGGACUGUGUCUGAGAGGCAUCAACUGAAUGUGGAUGUUAAUGACCUGGACUGUCAGGGUCCACCUCUACCUCCCAGAGCCUCAGAGCCCACAAGACAAAAUAAUUCUGAAUACUGUUCCAUGGGGGUAAUCUACUAAUUCAAAAUGCCUGCCUGUGCCAAUUUUCAGGUUUUUAUGUAGAUAAGUAUUAGUUAACCUGUUGCAAAAUGAUCUGACAAACAGAAGCAUUUGUGACGUUUCUGAACAGAGAACACUUUGGAAAUAUUUUUUGUGUGACAUGAUUGAUAGAUACAUGCUAUCUCUAGUAAAUCUAAAAUCUUGAAACUCAAAAUCAUCCUUUUAUGGGUGUAGAAGUCAGUGAUUUAAUGAUGCUCUUCCUAACAGUGGUGUGCAUGGAAAGGUUUUCAUUAAAGAGCGUAUGUGGUUUGCAUUUGCAAGAUUCAACUAGCACAGACUCCAAGAAAACCUAAGUUUUUUUGUUUUUUAAAGCAGGUAAGGCCGGGCACUGUGGCUUACACAAGUAAUCCACACACUUUGGGAGGCUGAGGUGGGUGGAUCACUUUAGGUCAGGAUUUCGAGACUAGCUAGGCCACUAGCUAGCCUAACCUGGUGGCACGUGCCUGUAAUUCCAGCUACUCAGGAGGGCUGCCUCAUAUUGAACCCGGGAGGCAGAGGCUGCAGUGAGCCGAGAACACACUACUGCACUACAGCCUGGGCGAAAGAGUGAGACUCUUGUCUCAAAAAAAAUAAAAAAGUGCCAUCAAGUUAGAAGUUUUAAAUUCAUGGUACAAGCAUUGCCAUAGAUGUGCCUGCAAGAAACACACAGAUGACUUUUUUUUGAGACAGGGUCUCUGUUGCACAAGCUGGAGUGUGGUGGCGCGAACAUGGCUCACUGCAACCUUGAGCUCCUGGGCUCAAGAGAUCCACCUGCUUCAGAUUUUCAUUUAGCUGGGACCACAGGCAUGUGCCACCAUGACCGGCUAAUUUUUUUUACUUUUCAGAGAGAGGAGGGGGAAUCUCACUUUGUUGCCAGGCUAGUCUCAAACUCCUGGGCUCAAGCAAUCCACCUGCCUCGGUGGCCAGAGUGCUAGGAUUACAGGUGUGAGUUGUUUUUUUUUUUAAAGAGACAGUCUUACCUCAUUCUGUCACCCAGAAUGGAAUGACUUUCUAAAAUUGCAGAAAGCAGAACAUAUUCCUUGCUGUUUAUAAUAUUAUAGUCGUAUCAAAGGGAAAGAGUAUUUCUCCUUAAAUAAAAUUACAAAUAAGAAAUGUAUGUUUUACUCUUACUCAUAAAAGGUAUUGUAGAAUACAAAAGGUUUUUCAAACUGGUUUUGUCUUUGAUUGGCUUUUAUAAUCCACACUUCAAAGAAGAAAUGCAUUUAACUUUUAAUAACUUAGUCAAAAAGUAUAAUGUUGCCUUGCCUUGCAUAACCUUUAACUAUUGCAAAUGAUGUUUUGUCCUUCCCCUUUGUCCAGUAUUUUCCAAAUGGUCAACAGUUUAAACAUUUAAGCUUGCACUGAGAAACCUUGCCACAUUUCAGCAGUUUUGUUUUGCUUUUGGUGGAGAGCACCUGAUCGCGACUUUACAGCCAAUGUAUUUACUCUAAAUUACACUUUUAUAGAUACAAGGUAAAGUGUAGCUGGGUGAAGGCACUCAGGAGCCAUAAAAUGUGGUCAACCACAAUAAAUUAAAAUGUAAGCUAAACAAAGUAUUCACACUUGCAUUUUUUUAAUAAGGAAUUUAAGAUCCAUAGUAUCUUUAAUGCUUGGAAGAGACACAAAUUCAAGGUGAUAAAAAUAUUAAUUAGAAGACACAUAACAUGCCUCAAGUAUAUCAACACUUGACUCCACAAACAAGGCAUAACCAUGAAAACAACACUCCCUUUAUUUUGGGCUCCCAAAAUCAAAAGUUAGAACUAAUUUAUUUAAUCACAGAUAUUUAGUAUACUCAAUAAUGCACUAACAAUUUCUUUAAAAAAACACUAAUACUGUACAGUAUUUCUGUGUUUUAGUUUUUCCCACAGCUGUUGAAAAUUUCAGCCUUGAUUUGAAACAUGACCUGCAUGACAGGCUAUAAGUUGUCAAUAGUUCUUUUUCUUUGGAAAAGUACAGUUGUGGCAUUUACUCACUUUAGCAGAUAGCUAAAAGGGAAAAAUAAGGAAAAAUAUACACUGGACCUGCAGUUAAGUUUUUGACAAUGCCAAGGAUCAAAAACAGAUGAAACAACAUUUGCUGAAGAUGAAAAGGUAUUGCAUUGGUCUUAAUAGAUGUUGCCAUCUCUGGGUGAGGAUGCUGACUGAGCCUGUUCUGUGUCUUCAUCACCUCUAUUUGUUUCUUCUUCUACGACAGACCUCCAAGAGACAAGAUCCAUGUAGUAAGCCACACUAGGUCCUUUUGACCCUUCUCAUUCUUCUGUAGUCUCUUCCCUGUGACUUUUGACAAAAAUACUCAGUUCACAAUAUUAGCUGCCUGCUUCUGAUGGGUAGGAGGUAAUCAAAAUACUCCCACCAAAGCACUCUAUGGUCUAGACUUGAUACUUAAAAUUUAGUUUUCAGCAUUCCUCAACAAGGAUACCUUGAGGUAAUAGGAGAUAUUUUGGUAAGUGAAAAUAAUUCCUGCUUGGAACACAGCCUACUGAACUCAGGAUUUAAUUUCUUGAGUAUUAGGCAGUUCUCAAUAAAUUGAUGUAUACUGAGGAAUGAUUCUAAAGAGGUUAGUGAUAUCCUGUUUGAGAAUAGAUUUAGAAAACUGAAGGUACUCUCCAGCUCUACAAUUCUGUAUUAGGAACAAUAGGGAAAUGAGAAAGUGCCUCUAUAUUGCAAUCUAAUGAGUCUCUGGGGGAAGACUGUCUACCUGCGUAGUAGUUGAGAACAAGACAAGCUCCCAAACACAUGAAAAUCAACUUGAAAUAACAUCAAAUUCAGCCUGGGCAAUAUCAUGAGACCUUAUAUCUACAAAAAAUUAGCCAGGACUGGUGGCACACGCCUGUAGUCCCAAGCUACUUGCGAGGUUGAGGCAGGAGGAUCACGAGCCUGAGAGGCCAAGGCUGCAGUGAGGUGUGAUCAUGCCACUGCACUCCAGUCUGGGUGACAGAGCAAGACCCUGUCUCAACAAAAUAAAAAACAUCAAAUUCAUUCCAUAUUCAGGUAACAGUGACAUAUAUCUACUGAAUUAUUUUUCUUUUAGGAAUGUCUAUAUCUAUGGAUUGUCACUAUAAAAAAAAGAAAAAACCCUAAAACUGAGCUUGACAAAGGGAAUAAAAGCAUACUUUGUUUUUCUUGGUGUCCCCAUGUUAAUAAAUCAUUUCUUCUCUUUGGCUCAA
rnacentral:lncRNA from 1 species